rnacentral:rRNA from 1 species
UUAAGUUAUUAAGGGCGCACGGUGGAUGCCUUGGCACUAGAAGCCGAUGAAGGACGUUACUAACGACGAUAUGCUUUGGGGAGCUGUAAGUAAGCUUUGAUCCAGAGAUUUCCGAAUGGGGAAACCCAGCAUGAGUUAUGUCAUGUUAUCGAUAUGUGAAUACAUAGCAUAUCAGAAGGCACACCCGGAGAACUGAACCAUCUUAGUACCCGGCGGAAGAGAAAGAAAAUUCGAUUCCCUUAGUAGCGGCGAGCGAAACGGGAAGAGCCCAAACCAACAAGCUUGCUUGUUGGGGUUGUAGGACACUCUAUACGGAGUUACAAAGGACGACAUUAGACGAAUCAUCUGGAAAGAUGAAUCAAAGAAGGUAAUAAUCCUGUAGUCGAAAAUGUUGUCUCUCUUGAGUGGAUCCUGAGUACGACGGAGCACGUGAAAUUCCGUCGGAAUCUGGGAGGACCAUCUCCUAAGGCUAAAUACUCUCUAGUGACCGAUAGUGAACCAGUACCGUGAGGGAAAGGUGAAAAGCACCCCGGAAGGGGAGUGAAAUAGAACCUGAAACCGUGUGCUUACAAGUAGUCAGAGCCCGUUAAUGGGUGAUGGCGUGCCUUUUGUAGAAUGAACCGGCGAGUUACGAUUUGAUGCAAGGUUAAGCAGUAAAUGUGGAGCCGUAGCGAAAGCGAGUCUGAAUAGGGCGUUUAGUAUUUGGUCGUAGACCCGAAACCAGGUGAUCUACCCUUGGUCAGGUUGAAGUUCAGGUAACACUGAAUGGAGGACCGAACCGACUUACGUUGAAAAGUGAGCGGAUGAACUGAGGGUAGCGGAGAAAUUCCAAUCGAACCUGGAGAUAGCUGGUUCUCUCCGAAAUAGCUUUAGGGCUAGCCUCAAGUGAUGAUUAUUGGAGGUAGAGCACUGUUUGGACGAGGGGCCCCUCUCGGGUUACCGAAUUCAGACAAACUCCGAAUGCCAAUUAAUUUAACUUGGGAGUCAGAACAUGGGUGAUAAGGUCCGUGUUCGAAAGGGAAACAGCCCAGACCACCAGCUAAGGUCCCAAAAUAUAUGUUAAGUGGAAAAGGAUGUGGCGUUGCCCAGACAACUAGGAUGUUGGCUUAGAAGCAGCCAUCAUUUAAAGAGUGCGUAAUAGCUCACUAGUCGAGUGACACUGCGCCGAAAAUGUACCGGGGCUAAACAUAUUACCGAAGCUGUGGAUUGUCCUUUGGACAAUGGUAGGAGAGCGUUCUAAGGGCGUUGAAGCAUGAUCGUAAGGACAUGUGGAGCGCUUAGAAGUGAGAAUGCCGGUGUGAGUAGCGAAAGACGGGUGAGAAUCCCGUCCACCGAUUGACUAAGGUUUCCAGAGGAAGGCUCGUCCGCUCUGGGUUAGUCGGGUCCUAAGCUGAGGCCGACAGGCGUAGGCGAUGGAUAACAGGUUGAUAUUCCUGUACCACCUAUAAUCGUUUUAAUCGAUGGGGGGACGCAGUAGGAUAGGCGAAGCGUGCGAUUGGAUUGCACGUCUAAGCAGUAAGGCUGAGUAUUAGGCAAAUCCGGUACUCGUUAAGGCUGAGCUGUGAUGGGGAGAAGACAUUGAGUCUUCGAGUCGUUGAUUUCACACUGCCGAGAAAAGCCUCUAGAUAGAAAAUAGGUGCCCGUACCGCAAACCGACACAGGUAGUCAAGAUGAGAAUUCUAAGGUGAGCGAGCGAACUCUCGUUAAGGAACUCGGCAAAAUGACCCCGUAACUUCGGGAGAAGGGGUGCUCUUUAGGGUUAACGCCCAGAAGAGCCGCAGUGAAUAGGCCCAAGCGACUGUUUAUCAAAAACACAGGUCUCUGCUAAACCGUAAGGUGAUGUAUAGGGGCUGACGCCUGCCCGGUGCUGGAAGGUUAAGAGGAGUGGUUAGCUUCUGCGAAGCUACGAAUCGAAGCCCCAGUAAACGGCGGCCGUAACUAUAACGGUCCUAAGGUAGCGAAAUUCCUUGUCGGGUAAGUUCCGACCCGCACGAAAGGCGUAACGAUUUGGGCACUGUCUCAACGAGAGACUCGGUGAAAUCAUAGUACCUGUGAAGAUGCAGGUUACCCGCGACAGGACGGAAAGACCCCGUGGAGCUUUACUGUAGCCUGAUAUUGAAAUUCGGCACAGCUUGUACAGGAUAGGUAGGAGCCUUUGAAACGUGAGCGCUAGCUUACGUGGAGGCGCUGGUGGGAUACUACCCUAGCUGUGUUGGCUUUCUAACCCGCACCACUUAUCGUGGUGGGAGACAGUGUCAGGCGGGCAGUUUGACUGGGGCGGUCGCCUCCUAAAAGGUAACGGAGGCGCUCAAAGGUUCCCUCAGAAUGGUUGGAAAUCAUUCAUAGAGUGUAAAGGCAUAAGGGAGCUUGACUGCGAGACCUACAAGUCGAGCAGGGUCGAAAGACGGACUUAGUGAUCCGGUGGUUCCGCAUGGAAGGGCCAUCGCUCAACGGAUAAAAGCUACCCCGGGGAUAACAGGCUUAUCUCCCCCAAGAGUUCACAUCGACGGGGAGGUUUGGCACCUCGAUGUCGGCUCAUCGCAUCCUGGGGCUGUAGUCGGUCCCAAGGGUUGGGCUGUUCGCCCAUUAAAGCGGUACGCGAGCUGGGUUCAGAACGUCGUGAGACAGUUCGGUCCCUAUCCGUCGUGGGCGUAGGAAAUUUGAGAGGAGCUGUCCUUAGUACGAGAGGACCGGGAUGGACAUACCUCUGGUGUACCAGUUGUCGUGCCAACGGCAUAGCUGGGUAGCUAUGUGUGGACGGGAUAAGUGCUGAAAGCAUCUAAGCAUGAAGCCCCCCUCAAGAUGAGAUUUCCCAACUUCGGUUAUAAGAUCCCUCAAAGAUGAUGAGGUUAAUAGGUUCGAGGUGGAAGCAUGGUGACAUGUGGAGCUGACGAAUACUAAUCGAUCGAAGACUUAAUCAA